rnacentral:rRNA from 1 species
AGAGUUUGAUCCUGGCUCAGGACAAACGCUGGCGGCGUGCGUAACACAUGCAAGUCGAACGCCCUGCGCGAGCAGGGAGUGGCGGACGGGUGAGGAACACAUGGGUAUCUACCUUUCGGUGGGGGAUACCGGCGAGAAAUCGCCGACAAUCCCGCAUACGCUCACGGAGACGUGAGGAAAGCAGUCAUGCGCCGGGAGAUGAGCCUGUGGCCGAUUAGCUGGCUGGUGAGGUAACGGCUCACCAGGGCGACGAUCGGUCGCUGGUCUGAGAGGAUGAUCAGCCACACUGGGAUUGAGAACGGCCCAGACUCCUACGGGGGGCAGCAGUGAGGAAUCUUCCGCAAUGGACGCAAGUCUGACGGAGCAACGCCGCGUGCAGGAGGACGCUUUUCGGAGUGUAAACUGCUUUUCUGCCGGACGAGUGAGGACGGUACGGCAGGAAGAAGCCCCGGCUAACUACGUGCCAGCAGCCGCGGUAAGACGUAGGGGGCGAGCGUUGUCCGGAGUUACUGGGCGUAAAGGGCGCGUAGGCGGUUUCUCGCGUAGCGGCCGACAGCCGGGGGCUUAACCCUCGGAGGUGUCGCUUGACGGGGAGACUGGAGGGCUACAGAGGAACUGGGAAGUCCGGGUGGAGCGGUGAAAUGCGUAGAGACCCGGAGGAACACCGAAGGCGAAGGCAAGGUUCUGGGUAGCCACUGACGCUGAGGCGCGAAAGCCAGGGGAGCGAACGGGAUUAGAUACCCCGGUAGUCCUGGCUGUAAACGAUGACCAUCAGGUGUGCGGGGGAUCGACCCCCUGCGUGCCGGAGCCAACGUGUUCAAUGGUCCGCCUGGGGAGUACGGUCGCAAGAUUAAAACUCAAAGGAAUUGACGGGGACCCGGCACAAGCAGCGGAGCGUGUGGUUUAAUUCGAAGCAACGCGAAGAACCUUACCAGGGUUUGACAUGGAGUUGCACCAGGUAGAGAUACCUGUCCCUUCGGGGCGGCUCCACAGGUGCUGCAUGGCUGUCGUCAGCUCGUGCCGUGAGGUGUUGGGUUAAGUCCCGCAACGAGCGCAACCCCUGUUGCCGGUUGGAUAUGUCCGGCGAGACUGCCGCGAGCAACGCGGAGGAAGGUGGGGAUGAUGUCAAGUCAGCACGGCCCUGACAUCCUGGGCGACACACACGCUACAAUGGCCGGGACAACGAGAAGCCAACCAGCGAUGGGGAGCGGAUCUCCACAAACCCGGUCUCAGUGCAGAUUGCAGGCUGCAACCCGCCUGCAUGAAGGAGGAGUUGCUAGUAACCGUGCGUCAGCACAGCACGGUGAAUACGUUCCCGGGUCUUGUACACACCGCCCGUCACACCACGAAAGUCGGCAACACCUGAAGYCGCCKGGCUAACCCGCAGGGGAGGCAGGC